GUCCUAGGGUCCGCGUAGAACAGCCGCCUUCUAAGCAGCAGGUCGUAGGUUCGAGCCCUACCGGGGUCGCCA
rnacentral:tRNA from 1 species